AACGAACGCUGGCGGCGUGGAUAAGACAUGCAAGUCGAACGCUGGUUUGAGGGUAGCAAUAUCACCAAACCGGAGUGGCGCAAGGGUGCGUAACACGUGGGCAAUCUACCGCAAAGACUGGAAUAACCUGCUGAAAAGUGGGCUAAUGCCGGAUGUUGUUUUCGAGGGGCAUCCCUUGAAACCAAAAGUUGGGGACCGAAAGGCCUAACGCUUUGCGAUGUAGCCCGCGGCCUAUCAGCUAGUUGGCGAGGUAAUGGCUCACCAAGGCUAAGACGGGUAGCUGGUCUGAGAGGACGACCAGCCACACUGGAACUGAGACACGGUCCAGACACCUACGGGUGGCAG
rnacentral:rRNA from 1 species